rnacentral:lncRNA from 1 species
AGUUGCUCGCGGCGGCUGAGAAGACGGCGAAGACGAGGAGGCGCAGCGAACGCAGGCACGAGCGGGGACUCAUGGUGCCGCCGCGGGCGCCCGGCCCGGGGCAGCGGCUGCGGCCGCGGGGGGCCUCCCGUCGGGGCUGCAGAUAAAGAAUCCGAGGCGCAGAGAGGUGGCACUGCUGGAAGGAACAGAGCCAGAUCCACAAGAUCCUUCAUUCCGACAAUAAAUAUUCACUGAAGAUCUGCCACAUGUCAGGCCCCAGCCCAGAUCAGGAAAUUGAGGUCCAGUGAGGUGUCUUGGCCAGGACACUCAGUCAGGACGUGACAUGAACACAGGACUGUCUGACUUCAAAUCCAGUGCUCCUUCCCCUGCAGUCCCCACCCCACUGACUGGGGGACAGUGCUCCAGGCAGCUGGAAUGGGACACGGUUUGUGUGGCAGCGAGAUAUCCAGGCUCUCCUCCUUCCAGAUCUAAGGAUUCAAACCCAGGUCUGCUUGACUAGGAAGGCCGGCCCUCUCCAUGGUGCCAGGACAACUCUUUGGAGAAGAUGCCCCUCUCUCUGCCUGCCUGAAUCUUCUCCGUCCACAAAGGCCUGCUCCAUCCUCCCUCCUCCAGGAAGCUUUCCCUGACUGUCCCCGGGCCCAGCCAGGGUGUCUGGGGGGCUGGAGAGACCCACAGAGCCCUGAUCACCGUGGCUGGCCCGUAAGUGUGGCGACUGAGUCCCAGUCUGGAGGCACAGCUGGACUUUCCCAGAGAGAACUGAGGCAUUGUGGGAAUUUCCCAGCUGUGACCCCAGGACCCUGAUUGCCCAGAAUGGCUCCAAGUUCACAUAUCUAGGGACCGUCACCAAGACUCCUGUAUCUAUAUUAAACUCGGUAAAUGUGAUGACCCUGGAAAUGUGCCCUCAGCAUCACAACCGCACUCUUGGCCCCUCCAGAAUUCAGAGCCACUUUGGGAGUCCACC